AUUACUUAUUGGCUUUAAACUUUUAUUUCAUUAUUUAAUUCUUAUAUAGUAAUGUUCCAUGAAGUGUAUGUAUAUAGCUAACCAAAUUUUGGUGGUAUUGUAUUACAUGAGUAUUAUUAGAAUCAUAAUAUUUUGAGGAGUUGAGGCUUAACAGUAGGCUUGAAAUUUAGUAAAUAUAAUCUUGACAUAUAAGUAUAUCAAGAGUAAGAGCUUGAUUGGAUAUAUGAGUGAGUUUUGGAGUUUAGGUUAGACACAAAAAAAAAAAAAAAAAUAAAUUUAAAUACCUAUGAACUCGCUUACUUACGAAUAUCUCACGAUGGAUAGAUUGGGAACGUUCCGAAGCCUUGCGAAAAGGAAAGGAAAAAUCUUGAAGAUUGGUGGCACGAGUUCGGCAUUUAAGAUUCGAUUCCGAGUAGGAGCACAUCUCGUGGAGCAAAUUGAGUCCGGCUUGAAGUUCUUAGAGUUGUGGUGAGCUGCUUGGCUGUUCCGUGGCCCACACCUCCCUCUAUAUUUACGUAUUCUGUUAUUCAGUAUUCAGACAGGAUAUCCCUUAAGUUAGAUUUGUCAUUUUAGUUUCAGACUUGCAUCGUAUUCUAGAAGCUCUUGUACUUAAGACACCAAUUCUUGGGGUGAUAUAUUUUAUCUUCCGCAUGUCGUACUUAUAAGGAACUCAAUGUUGGAGAUU